rnacentral:tRNA from 1 species
GUGGGGAGGGACUGUGGCUCAGUGGUAGAGCAUGUGCCCAGCAAGCAGAUGAUCCCGGGUUCAAUUCCCAGCCUCUACA